rnacentral:rRNA from 1 species
CCUACGGGACGCACCAGUGGGGAAUAUUGCACAAUGGGCGCAAGCCUGAUGCAGCCAUGCCGCGUGUAUGAAGAAGGCCUUCGGGUUGUAAAGUACUUUCAGCGGGGAGGAAGGUGUUGUGGUUAAUAACCACAGCAAUUGACGUUACCCGCAGAAGAAGCACCGGCUAACUCCGUGCCAGCAGCCGCGGUAAUACGGAGGGUGCAAGCGUUAAUCGGAAUUACUGGGCGUAAAGCGCACGCAGGCGGUCUGUCAAGUCGGAUGUGAAAUCCCCGGGCUCAACCUGGGAACUGCAUUCGAAACUGGCAGGCUAGAGUCUUGUAGAGGGGGGUAGAAUUCCAGGUGUAGCGGUGAGAUGCGUAGAGAUCUGGAGGAAUACCGGUGGCGAAGGCGGCCCCCUGGACAAAGACUGACGCUCAGGUGCGAAAGCGUGGGGAGCAAACAGGAUUAGAUACCCCUGUAGUC